rnacentral:rRNA from 1 species
UACGUAGGGUGCAAGCGUUAAUCGGAAUUACUGGGCGUAAAGCGUGCGCAGGCGGUUUGUAAGUCAGAUGUGAAAUCCCCGGGCUUAACCUGGGAACUGCGUUUGAAACUACAAGGCUAGAGUGUGGCAGAGGGGGGUGGAAUUCCACGUGUAGCAGUGAAAUGCGUAGAGAUGUGGAGGAACACCGAUGGCGAAGGCAGCCCCCUGGGCCGCUCCUGACGGCUGAUACGGCGAAGGCCAGGGUAGCGAACGGGG